GACAGAGGGUGCGAACGUUGUUCGGAAUUACUGGGCGUAAAGGGCGCGUAGGCGGCUUAACAAGUCACUUGUGAAAUCUCCGGGCUUAACUCGGAACGGCCAAGUGAAACUGUCAAGCUAGAGUGCAGAAGGGGCAAUCGGAAUUCUUGGUGUAGCGGUGAAAUGCGUAGAUAUCAAGAGGAACACCUGAGGUGAAGACGGGUUGCUGGGCUGACACUGACGCUGAGGCGCGAAAGCCAGGGGAGCAAACGGG
rnacentral:rRNA from 1 species